rnacentral:rRNA from 1 species
CCUACGGGGGGCAGCAGUGAGGCAUAUUGGUCAAUGGACGAGAGUCUGAACCAGCCAAGUAGCGUGAAGGAUGACUGCCCUAUGGGUUGUAAACUUCUUUUAUAUGGGAAUAAAAUGUUCCACGUGUGGGAUUUUGUAUGUACCAUAUGAAUAAGGAUCGUCUAACUCCGUGCCAGCAGCCGCGGUAAUACGGAGGAUCCGAGCGUUAUCCGGAUUUAUUGGGUUUAAGGGGAGCGUAGGUGGAUUGUUAAGUCAGUUGUGAAAGUUUGCGGCUCAACCGUAAAAUUGCAGUUGAAACUGGCAGUCUUGAGUACAGUAGAGGUGGGCGGAAUUCGUGGUGUAGCGGUGAAAUGCUUAGAUAUCACGAAGAACUCCGAUUGCGAAGGCAGUUCACUGGACUGCAACUGACACUGAGGCUCGAAAGUGUGGGUAUCAAACAGGAUUAGAUACCCCUGUAGUC